GGGUGCUGACUGCUUGGUGCAGUGAGGCAGGUUAAAAGACUACGCUGGUCGGGCCGCCAUACG
rnacentral:ncRNA from 1 species